GCUUGCGCCAUUUCUUCCCAAGGCAAGGUGAUGUGAUGAAAUCCGCAUGAUGCACAGCCCAGACUUGUGAGCCAAUAGCAGACUGGCCCCACGCUGACAAGGAUGCCCGCUGGGCAGCCAGCCUGGCCUCUGCACGGCUCUUCCUACAUCCUCACCUUGGGUGGUUAGGCUGCGCUGGAAGGGGCUUAGGUUGACUUUGAAUCCCCUCCGCAAUGCCAUCAAGGAUGACUUUGAACUCCUGACCCUGCUGCCUCUACCACGCAAGUGCUGGAAUUACAGGCGUCAUACCAUAUAUAUGCUGUAAACCUAGGGCUUCGUGCAUUCUAAGCAAGCACUCUACUGAGCUAUAUUUCCCAGCCAGGAAUGUAUCUCUUCUAAUCUAGUCCAUAGUUACAAUGACUCUCGAGCAUAUACUUACUGACACCUUCACCCUUCCUCAAGCCACCAUAUUCACAUGAGGAGAAAAAGCAGAGCCUGAGUAAGUCCUAUACUCAACCUGUUCCAUUUCCAUAUUAACUGGUUUGGUCUUCCUUUAACUUUAAUCUGUUCCAAUCCCAUUCUUUUCAUAACCAGGUCUUUGAUGGCUAUUUUAUACCAUCUAUUCUUUACUUAAACCUACAAUAUCUGUUACUGGAUUCUUUAAUCAAUGGCCAUGUUUUCUACACUACUUUCAUUACUAUUGUCAUUUACUAAAGUUUGUCUUUAUCUUAACUGGUCUAACAGCAUCAUUCACAUAAUAAAUUAAGUUGUAUCUUCAUAAAAAUCUCUACUUGAAUUCUAGGUUGACUACAUUUCUCUAACUCAUUGAUUCUUCUUAAUAUCUUCUGGUGGUAUUUGGGUUUUUAGAUAGAAAAAAAUGGAACCAAUGAAAGUCUCAAUCCUUAAAUAACUCUGAAAAUUGAUAUUGGAUACAAUCUACCUAAGUACAAAUAUUUUCUCUGUCAUAUUACCUAGGUCCACAUAAGUAAUUACUUUAUUGUUUACAAUGUUUAUUGUUUUUAUUGAUAUUAUCCU